UAGAGAGAUCAUCAUUUUAGGAUUGAUAAGUUGGACAAUCCUAGAUGCAUCAUCACCUAUAAAAUUUGGAAUCAUCAAGGUCUUUGCUAAAGUGAAAGCAUCUCUUGCAGUGACUACUUCUGUUAUAGUCCAAUCACAAGUGUACCUGCAUGGUUUUGAAUCACAAUUGCAUGUGAGAUUGCUCCAUCAAAAUUGACUACUCCAAACACCGUAGACACCCUUCGCAUGUGAGACUGCUCCAUCAAAAUUGACUUUGAAUUGAUCAUACAAAGAAGCCUCCCAUGUUAUAGGUUUGACAAUGGAAAGUUGAUCUUGAAUGGUUAUUAUCAGCUUCCUUGAGAACUUUAAGGUACCUGGUUGCAAAGCAAAUUAGUGACAGGAGAUCUCUUCUGUUACAUAAGCUUUGGUUUUUCUAUUAGUUCUUUUUUUUUUUUCUUUUAUAAAUUUUUGGUUACUUUGAAAGUUCAUGCUUUGCCCUUGACUGUAAUUUGUAUGGAAAAAAAAAAUGCGAGCCAUGUAUCAUUUAAGAAAAGUGGCAAAAAAAGACCACAAAUUACAGAUACAAAUUUGCUUCCAAUCUCACGAACUCAAAAACUACUC
rnacentral:lncRNA from 1 species